AUUUGGGUUGUUUCCCGCACUCUGUCGUGAUGGCAGAGUAUGAAAAGAAACGCGCUAAAUGGAAUUGCUACAGAUAAAGAUAUAGUCCGGACUUUGCAGUGAUGCAAAGAACUCAUGAGAAAUCAUUAGUCGCAGUAGUUUUAGCUAGAGGUCAAUGGCCGGUAGCUGGAAGCUAUUGUUAAAAAGUAACAGAUCAACCCCAGUAAUCCACGCCCUAAACGAUGAUCACUGGCUUUUCGGAGUAUCGACCCUCUGAGAGGCGAAGCUAACGCGUUAAGUGAUCCGCCUGGGUAGUACGAGCGCAAGCUUAAAACUCAAAGGAAUAGACGGGGACUUGCACAAGCGGUGGACCAUGUGGUUCAAUUCGACGGCAAACGAAGAACCUUACCAGGGCUAGACAUCCAGACGAACUCUAGUGGAAACAUUAGGGGUCCUCACAAGGGACGGCUGGACAGGUGCUGCAUGGUUGUUUGUCCCGAAGUUUUCGGGACACGCGAACAGUCGCGGACUUUACCCCGAAAUUCCCGCAUUGCGGGGGUACGGGGCAGGCGCAGACUGUCGCGGAAACGACGACCUUUUGGCGAGAAAUCGCCAUCGAAUAGUCUAUAGAGUGUUUAGGUUUAUCCUGAACAUGUCUAAAAUUAACACUGGCUCAUAACGGUGAAAUCCCGAGUGAAAUCGAGGGACAAUACCGUGGGAAGUUUUGUUCACUUUAUUGGGAAAAUGUAAAAGAGAAAGGGAUUGUGUGAAGAUUAAGUGGGUAAUGUAAUUAGUAUUAAGCAGGUCAAUGCUUAGCCGACAUUGCAUGACCGAAACGGAAGAUGUAGACCGUGCCCUUCGUUGGGGAUUGGAUGAGGUCAAUAGAAUUAACCUCGAUCUUGGGAAGGGGAGGAAAGUCACUGUCGCGAUUCUUAUGGGACAAAGUGACGACGAAGAGUGGAGAAAAAAGCACGGCGAUUUUGUUUUCAUAGGGCGCUAUAAACCCUUGAUGACCAAAAAAUCUGUCCAAAAGGUUACGCCAGAGGUUUUCUGGAGACCUCACGGAACCGCCGAGGGCACAAUCGAAGAUUAAACAUUUGGGGAGAGUUUACGCUUUCCCCUCUCAAUAAAGUGAACGAAACCCCGUAGAGACUUUGCUCUAUCAAAGACGGAGCAAGAUGGAUCUGUUGCAGGAUUCAUAAAACGCCAGCUCCAGCGCAUGCGCACUGGCGCGGAAUUAGCAGAACAUACGCGGAAUCACGCAGAAGUAAAUUUCUGCGACGGUCUGCGUACAGUCUGCGUUAAUCUGCGCUCGAGCAAUGCGAGGGAAGAAGGUAUAGUCCGUGCCAUUAGUAAUAAUGGAAUUAACACAGUCGUCAGUUCGUGGUUUGAGAGUAAAAAUUCGAACCCUUCUCGAGAAAUCGAGUCGAUUAAACCAGCUCAUAACGGGGGAGCCCUAGCUGUGCAACUACCAAUAACUAACAAAUAACCGCCAACAACACGUUUGAUGUUAGAUGUUGUAAGUUGGAAGUUGCGUCAGUCGGUAAUCCCGUGGGAAGCUAGUAAAUUACAAGUUAUAAGUCAAAAAUCAAAAGUCAAAAUUGAAAGUAAAAACUUUUUAAUUUUGGAUUAAACUUUUGAGUUUUACCUUUUGAAUUUUGAGUUUACUUAGCCCUGUAACGACUUUUCACGUUAAGUGAAGGAGUUAUCUAUAGGUAGAUAGCUAAAACGCUGGCCCCUAACCCGCAAGAAUGUGGGAAGGGCGAUGGUAUAGUCUGGCUUCUAAAGGAAUUUAGGAGAUUAAUGGAAUUGUUCCCUUAAGUGGGGUAACGAACGCAACCCUCGUCGUCUGUUAUAAGUGUCAGGCGAGACUGCCCCGCUCAGAGGUCAGAUGUCAGAAGUCGGAUGUCAGAGUUCGGAGAUCAGAUGUCGGAGUAGAAAUCCGAUGUCCGAAAUCUGGAAUCUGAUAUCUGAUUAUCCGAUAUCCGAAUUCUGAGCGGGGAGGAAGGGGAGGAUGACGCCAAAUCAGCAUGGCCCUUUGAUGUCCUGGGCUACACACGUGGUACAAUCGUCACUACAACGCGUUGCGACGGGGUAACCCUGAGCCAAUCGUAAUAAAAGUGACGCCAGUUCGGAUUGAGGCCUGCAACUCGGCCUCAUGAAGUCGGAAUCGCUAGUAAUCGCGGGUCAGCUAUACCGCGGUGAAUACGUUCUCAAGUCUUGUACUCACCGCCCGUCAAUCCAAGGGAGCCGGGGAUGCCCGAAGCUCUCGCUUUGCGAGAACUAAGGUAAAUUCGGUGACAGGGGAUAAGUCGUAACAAGGCACAGCUAGCGGAAGCUGGCCGUGAAUCAAUU
rnacentral:ncRNA from 1 species